rnacentral:rRNA from 1 species
ACUCGAGUGGCGAACGGGUGAGUAACACGUGGGUGAUCUGCCUUGCACUCUGGGAUAAGCUUGGGAAACUGGGUCUAAUACCGGAUAGGAACCGUCUUUAGUGUGGUGGUUGGAAAGUUUUUCGGUGCAAGAUGAGCUCGCGGCCUAUCAGCUUGUUGGUGGGGUAAUGGCCUACCAAGGCGACGACGGGUAGCCGGCCUGAGAGGGUGUACGGCCACAUUGGGACUGAGACACGGCCCAG